AUAAGUUACUGCUACGUAGAAUGUGAGGAGGUAGUAAACGAGAAGUGCAUGAUAUCAAGGUGAAAUACUUUUGGAGUUUUCUGAAGGAAAAUGAUGCUUGGAGGAACUCCAGGGCCUACAAACCCUAACAGCUCCUGGCUAAGUAGCAAGGGAAUGUGGUUAACUUAUGGUGUUGGAAUCUUAGGACUACAUUUGGUAUUAUUAAGCUUUCCAUUCUUAAGUGUGGCUUGGGCAUGGACACUUACGAACGUCGUUCAUAACACGGGAAUGUUUAUUCUGCUCCACAUUAUUAAAGGAACACCCUGGGAACCCGGAGACCAAGGAAAGUCUUAUUUCUUAACUCACUGGGAACAGAUUGAUAAUGGAGAGCAGUUUACCAAAACCAAAAAGUUUUUAACUGUAGUUCCUAUCGUCUUG